UACGAAGGGUGCUAGCGUUGUUCGGAAUUACUGGGCGUAAAGCGCGCGUAGGCGGCUUUGUAAGUCAGGGGUGAAAUCCCACAGCUUAACUGUGGAACUGCCUUUGAAACUGCAAAGCUUGAGUGUCGGAGGGGAUAGCGGAAUUGCUAAUGUAGAGGUGAAAUUCGUAGAUAUUAGCAGGAACACCGGUGGCGAAGGCGGCUAUCUGGACGACAACUGACGCUGAGGCGCGAAAGCGUGGGGAUCAAACAGG
rnacentral:rRNA from 1 species